AUACGGAGGAUCCGAGCGUUAUCCGGAUUUAUUGGGUUUAAAGGGUGCGCAGGCGGCCAUUUAAGUCAGCGGUUAAAUCGUGGGGCUCAACCCCAUUCUGCAGUUGAUACUGGUUUCCUUGAGUACGGUACAGGUGGGCGGAAUUCGUGGUGUAGCGGGUAAAUGCUUAGAUAUCACGAAGAACUCCGAUCGCGAAGGCAGCUCACCGGGCCGGAACUGACACUGAUGCUCGAAAGUGCGGGUAUCAAACAGGAUUAGAUACCCUGGUAGUCCGCACAGUAAACGAUGAAUACUCGCUGUUUGCGAUACACGGUAAGCGGCCAAGCGAAAGCGUUAAGUAUUCCACCUGGGGAGUACGCCGGCAACGGUGAAACUUAAAGGAAUUGACGGGG
rnacentral:rRNA from 1 species